ACAAGGAGAGCGCGUAUACAGAUGCCCAUUGCUUACGGAUGGAGACGAAUAUAAGGUUAAUCGAGAUCACCUAGUUCAGUGGUGGGAUUGUGCGGUUACGGAGGAGCUGUCCAAGAUAAACCUACGAUUUGACGUUUUAACCUCUCUUGAGGUUGUGAGGGGUGGAUUUCCACCUGCUUUGGAGUCGAUCCGGGAAACUCUUCGUCUUAUGCGUGAAGAAAUUGAUGCCCUUAAAGCGAGGUUAGCCACAAAAGAAGUCGAGAUUGCGAGGCUUAAGGGGUUACUUUCAAGUUGGUAAUAUUGUAUGAUUACCACCUAGUCUUUGUAAUAUUUGAAUUUGUAUUUUGGAUAUGGAUUUGUGUUUUCAUGAAGUCUUAUUAGUAGUUGUACCUGCAGUAAUGCUAGUUGUACUUGGUUCAACCGGUACAACUCCGACUUAUAUGUAUUUACUAAGUAUUUUUAAUAGUAGUUGUCCCAGGUUUAUAA